rnacentral:rRNA from 1 species
UACGUAGGCAGCAAGCGUUGUUCGGAGUUACUGGGCGUAAAGGGUGUGUAGGCGGUUCUUCAAGUUUGGUGUGAAAUCUCCCGGCUCAACCGGGAGGGUGCGCCGAAUACUGAGGGACUCGAGUGCGGGAGAGGAAAGUGGAAUUCCUGGUGUAGCGGUGAAAUGCGUAGAUAUCAGGAGGAACACCGGUGGUGUAGACGGCUUUCUGGACCGACACUGACGCUGAGACACGAAAGCGUGGGUAGCAAACAGG